AAACAAGCAUGGCAGGAGAGAUACCAUGAUCAAAAAAGUAGACAACUAUUUAAUAACCAUUGUACUCCAGAUAUGCUGAUCCCUGAGGUGUCAGUUAUCCAUUUGUGGAAAACUCAACUGCAUAACUGCAUAAUUUGUGGUAGUGGGGUGCCUCAUGCAUUUGCCUCCCAU
rnacentral:snRNA from 1 species